rnacentral:rRNA from 1 species
ACAUGGUCUUUUGUUUAUAUAAAAGAUCUGGCCUGCCCAAUGAUAUAUUUAAUGGCUGCAGUAUUUUGACUGUACAAAGGUAGCAUAAUCAUUUGUCUUUUAAUUGGAGUCUGGAAUGAAUGGUCUGAUGAAAGGUUUACUUUCUUUAUUUUAAAAAUAAAAUUUAAUUUCUAAAUCAAAAAGUUUAGUUAAUGAUAUAGGACGAGAAGACCCUAUAGAACUUUAUUUUUAAGAAUAUAUAUAUUAUUUUGUUAAUUAUUAAUAUAUAGUUUUAUAAAAAUUUGAUUGGGGUGAUAAAAAAAAUAUUUUAACUUUUUUUAAUUUUUACAUUUAUAUAUGAUUUUUUGAUCCUUUAUUAUGGAAUAUAAGAUUAAGUUACCUUAGGGAUAACAGCGUUAUUAUUUUGGAGAGUUCAUAUUAAUAAAAUAGUUUGCGACCUCGAUGUUGGAUUAAAAUUAGCUAUAGGAGUAGAAGAUUAGUAGCUAAGUCUGUUCGACUUUUAAAUUUUUACAUGAUCU